UACGUAGGGUGCAAGCGUUAAUCGGAAUUACUGGGCGUAAAGCGUGCGCAGGCGGUUCGGAAAGAAAGAUGUGAAAUCCCAGGGCUCAACCUUGGAACUGCAUUUUUAACUACCGGGCUAGAGUGUGUCAGAGGGAGGUGGAAUUCCGCGUGUAGCAGUGAAAUGCGUAGAUAUGCGGAGGAACACCGAUGGCGAAGGCAGCCUCCUGGGAUAGCACUGACGCUCAGGCACGAAAGCGUGGGGAGCAAACAGG
rnacentral:rRNA from 1 species